UACGUAGGGUCCGAGCGUUGUCCGGAGUGACUGGGCGUAAAGCGCGCGCAGGCGGCCUGCGAGGUGUCACGUGAAAGCCCCGUGCUCAACGCGGGAGGGUCGUGGCAAACCGGUAGGCUUGAGGCCGGUAGAGGUGGGUGGAACUCCUGGUGGAGUGGUGAAAUGCGUAGAGAUCAGGAAGAACACCCGUGGCGAAGGCGGCCCACUGGGCCGGACCUGACGCUGAGGCGCGAAAGCGUGGGGAGCAAACAGG
rnacentral:rRNA from 1 species